rnacentral:lncRNA from 1 species
GAAUUGCAACCUCUUGAUUCAUCGUACAGGCCAGUAUCCACAUGUGUGACUGGAGCUACAAGGUUGCACGCAGACCCACAAGUGCUCGCCUUCAUGGAAAGGAUCUUACACAUACUUAAUGGCAUUAAGCAGACCCAGCAGGCCCAUUCACAAUAUCUUAAUGAGCUGCUCAGCAAUGCAGACAGUGCUUCGUCG